rnacentral:rRNA from 1 species
AUUGAACGCUGGCGGCAGGCCUAAUACAUGCAAGUCGAGCGAGCGUCGGACGGGUGAGUAAUGUAUGGGGAUCUGCCCGACAGAGGGGGUUAACUACGGUAAACGUUGGCUAAUACCGCAUACUGUCUGAUUUAAUCACAUGGGAUUAGCUAGUAGGUAUGGUAAUGGCUUACCUAGGUGACGAUCCCUAGCUGGUCUGAGAGGAUGAUCAGCCACACUGGGACUGGGACACGGCCCAGACUCCUACGGGAGGCAGCAGUGGGGAAUCUUCCGCAAUGGACGAAAGUCUGACGGAGCAACGCCGCGUGAGUGAUGACGGCCUUCGGGUUGUAAAGCUCUGUUAAUCGGGACGCGGUACCGGAAUAGAAAGCCACGGCUAACUACGUGCCAGCAGCCGCGGUAAUAC